rnacentral:rRNA from 1 species
GAGGUUAAGCGACUAAGCGUACACGGUGGAUGCCCUGGCAGUCAGAGGCGAUGAAGGACGUGCUAAUCUGCGAUAAGCGUCGGUGAGGUGAUAUGAACCGUUAUAACCGGCGAUUUCCGAAUGGGGAAACCCAGUGUGUUUCGACACACUAUCAUUAACUGAAUCCAUAGGUUAAUGAGGCGAACCGGGGGAACUGAAACAUCUAAGUACCCCGAGGAAAAGAAAUCAACCGAGAUUCCCCCAGUAGCGGCGAGCGAACGGGGAGGAGCCCAGAGCCUGAAUCAGUGUGUGUGUUAGUGGAAGCGUCUGGAAAGGCGCGCGAUACAGGGUGACAGCCCCGUACACAAAAAUGCACAUGCUGUGAGCUCGAUGAGUAGGGCGGGACACGUGGUAUCCUGUCUGAAUAUGGGGGGACCAUCCUCCAAGGCUAAAUACUCCUGACUGACCGAUAGUGAACCAGUACCGUGAGGGAAAGGCGAAAAGAACCCCGGCGAGGGGAGUGAAAAAGAACCUGAAACCGUGUACGUACAAGCAGUGGGAGCCUCUUAAUGGGGUGACUGCGUACCUUUUGUAUAAUGGGUCAGCGACUUAUAUUCUGUAGCAAGGUUAACCGAAUAGGGGAGCCGAAGGGAAACCGAGUCUUAACUGGGCGUUAAGUUGCAGGGUAUAGACCCGAAACCCGGUGAUCUAGCCAUGGGCAGGUUGAAGGUUGGGUAACACUAACUGGAGGACCGAACCGACUAAUGUUGAAAAAUUAGCGGAUGACUUGUGGCUGGGGGUGAAAGGCCAAUCAAACCGGGAGAUAGCUGGUUCUCCCCGAAAGCUAUUUAGGUAGCGCCUCGUGAAUUCAUCUCCGGGGGUAGAGCACUGUUUCGGCAAGGGGGUCAUCCCGACUUACCAACCCGAUGCAAACUGCGAAUACCGGAGAAUGUUAUCACGGGAGACACACGGCGGGUGCUAACGUCCGUCGUGAAGAGGGAAACAACCCAGACCGCCAGCUAAGGUCCCAAAGUCAUGGUUAAGUGGGAAACGAUGUGGGAAGGCCCAGACAGCCAGGAUGUUGGCUUAGAAGCAGCCAUCAUUUAAAGAAAGCGUAAUAGCUCACUGGUCGAGUCGGCCUGCGCGGAAGAUGUAACGGGGCUAAACCAUGCACCGAAGCUGCGGCAGCGACGCUUAUGCGUUGUUGGGUAGGGGAGCGUUCUGUAAGCCUGUGAAGGUGUGCUGUGAGGC